CAGCAGCCGCGGGAAUACGAAGGGUGCAAGCGUUACUCGGAAUUACUGGGCGUAAAGCGUGCGUAGGUGGUGGUUUAAGUCCGUUGUGAAAGCCCUGGGCUCAACCUGGGAAUUGCAGUGGAUACUGGGUCACUAGAGUGUGGUAGAGGAUGGUGGAAUUCCCGGUGUAGCGGUGAAAUGCGUAGAGAUCGGGAGGAACAUCAGUGGCGAAAGCACUCUGCUGGGCCGACACUGACACUGAGAGACGAAAGCUAGGGGAGCAAAUGGGAUUAGAUACCCCAGUAGUCCCUGUCUCUUAUAC
rnacentral:rRNA from 1 species